rnacentral:rRNA from 1 species
AGUUUGAUCAUGGCUCAGGAUGAACGCUGGCGGCGUGCUUAACACAUGCAAGUCGAACGGAAAGGCCGAAGCUUGCUUCGGUACUCGAGUGGCGAACGGGUGAGUAACACGUGGGUGAUCUGCCCUGCACUUUGGGAUAAGCCUGGGAAACUGGGUCUAAUACCAGAUAGGACCACGUCUUGGAUGGUGUGGUGGAAAGUUUUUUCGGUGUGGGAUGAGCUCGCGGCCUAUCAGCUUGUUGGUGGGGUAAUGGCCUACCAAGGCGUCGACGGGUAGCCGGCCUGAGAGGGUGUACGGCCACAUUGGGACUGAGAUACGGCCCAGACUCCUACGGGAGGCAGCAGUGGGGAAUAUUGCACAAUGGGCGCAAGCCUGAUGCAGCGACGCCGCGUGGGGGAUGACGGCCUUCGGGUUGUAAACUCCUUUCGCCAGGGACGAAGCGUAAGUGACGGUACCUGGAUAAGAAGCACCGGCUAACUACGUGCCAGCAGCCGCGGUAAUACGUAGGGUGCGAGCGUUGUCCGGAAUUACUGGGCGUAAAGAGCUCGUAGGUGGUUUGUCGCGUCGUUUGUGUAAUACCGCAGCUUAACUGCGGGGUUGCAGGCGAUACGGGCAUAACUUGAGUGCUGUAGGGGAGACUGGAAUUCCUGGUGUAGCGGUGGAAUGCGCAGAUAUCAGGAGGAACACCGAUGGCGAAGGCAGGUCUCUGGGC